rnacentral:rRNA from 1 species
UUGAUCCUGGCUCAGAGCGAACGUUAGCGGCGGGGCUUAACACAUGCAAGUCGAGCGAGAAAGGGGCUUCGGCCCUGAGUACAGCGGCGGACGGGUGAAUAACACGUAGGUAACCUUCCUUUCAGCGGGGGACAACGGUCCGAAAGGACCGCUAAUACCGCAUACGUUCCCUAGGACCUCGGUCCUGGGGAGGAAAGGCCCGCAAGGGCCACUGGAUGAGGGGCCUGCGUAGCAUCAGCUAGUUGGUGGGGUAAUGGCCUACCAAGGCGAAGACGCUUAGCUGGUCUGAGAGGAUGAUCAGCCACACUGGGACUGAGACACGGCCCAGACUCCUACGGGAGGCAGCAGUGGGGAAUAUUGGACAAUGGGCGCAAGCCUGAUCCAGCCACGCCGCGUGAGUGAUGAAGGCCUCGGUCGUAAC